rnacentral:misc_RNA from 1 species
CUCCACCAUCACCACCAUUUUCGUCCUUCCAACCAACACCCAUCCUACUCAGCUUCAACAUUAGACCCAUCUCACCAUUGACGCACAAGAGUCUUGCGACACAAUAUGCGUAGCUCAUCAGAACCUUCUUGAUGCUCUACAGAGCAUCCGCAUUCCAUAAGCCCCAAAACAAUGAUAUCAUUUUAGUGAAGAAAGAAAACACAACUGCCCUUCCUUCCCCGACACCACACUUGCUUGCAGCUCCAUCGAAUAACUCCAAACCACCGAUGCUAUUACAUCGAAUAUUGACCAAACCAUCGUCUGUCUUGUCAAGAUCGAAACUCCUCCCCAUCGAUUGAUCCAUCAGUUGAAAGAGAAGUAUUACCCAUUAAUUAGAAGGGACACCAUCUCUCAACCAAGCAUCACAACAUUUCCAUCGCCCCAUUCAAGACCCAUUUCGUACUGCAGUCGGUCCAUCUGCUUAAUCAUACACUUAGCACACUGCAACUGGAAGACAAAAUCUACCGUUGUCAAUGAGCAAGUCCACAUCUCCUUCAUUGCUGAUAAAAGAAUCGAUGAAUUUAAUUUAAUCGCAAAUAUAAGCUUCAAAUUGGGUAGUGACACUGUUCGAAAGCCGUGAGGCUUCAAACUCGACAUUCUGUGCCGUUGUCGAUUUCCAAUCUUGGCAUGCCUAACAUUCCAUCUUUAAAUCGGCAUUCUGGGGAGGGGACUAGUGAUUUUCUUUUUUUAUAUUCAUGGAAUAGCGAUGUUGAUGUUUCUGUGAUAGGUUCCACCUAAUCAAAUCUGUUAAAUGCAGGGGAGUGAAGGCUGGAAGAAAUGGUUGACAUCUUUGAGUUGG